AUUGGACGCUGGCGGCAGGCCUAACACAUGCAAGUCGAGCGGAUGAGUGGAGCUUGCUCCAUGAUUCAGCGGCGGACGGGUGAGUAAUGCCUAGGAAUCUGCCUGGUAGUGGGGGACAACGUUUCGAAAGGAACGCUAAUACCGCAUACGUCCUACGGGAGAAAGUGGGGGAUCUUCGGACCUCACGCUAUCAGAUGAGCCUAGGUCGGAUUAGCUAGUUGGUGAGGUAAAGGCUCACUAAGGCGACGAUCCGUAACUGGUCUGAGAGGAUGAUCAGUCACACUGGAACUGAGACACGGUCCAGACUCCUACGGGAGGCAGCAGUGGGGAAUAUUGGACAAUGGGCGAAAGCCUGAUCCAGCCAUGCCGCGUGUGUGAAGAAGGUCUUCGGAUUGUAAAGCACUUUAAGUUGGGAGGAAGGGCAGUAAGUUAAUACCUUGCUGUUUUGACGUUACCAACAGAAUAAGCACCGGCUAACUUCGUGCCAGCCGCCGCGGUAAGAC
rnacentral:rRNA from 1 species